rnacentral:rRNA from 1 species
AGUUUGAUCCUGGCUCAGGACGAACGCUGGCGGCGUGCUUAACACAUGCAAGUCGAACGGAAAGGCCCUUCGGGGUGCUCGAGUGGCGAACGGGUGAGUAACACGUGGGUGAUCUGCCCUGCACUUUGGGAUAAGCCUGGGAAACUGGGUCUAAUACCGAAUAGGACUGCGCUCUUCAUGGGGUGUGGUGGAAAGCUUUUGCGGUGUGGGAUGGGCCCGCGGCCUAUCAGCUUGUUGGUGGGGUAAUGGCCUACCAAGGCGACGACGGGUAGCCGGCCUGAGAGGGUGACCGGCCACACUGGGACUGAGAUACGGCCCAGACUCCUACGGGAGGCCGCAGUGGGGAAUAUUGCACAAUGGGCGCAAGCCUGAUGCAGCGACGCCGCGUGAGGGAUGACGGCCUUCGGGUUGUAAACCUCUUUCAGCACAGACGAAGCGCGAGUGACGGUAUGUGCAGAAGAAGGACCGGCCAACUACGUGCCAGCAGCCGCGGUAAUACGUAGGGUCCGAGCGUUGUCCGGAAUUACUGGGCGUAAAGAGCUCGUAGGUGGUUUGUCGCGUUGUUCGUGAAAACUCACAGCUUAACUGUGGGCGUGCGGGCGAUACGGGCAGACUGGAGUACUGCAGGGGAGACUGGAAUUCCUGGUGUAGCGGUGGAAUGCGCAGAUAUCAGGAGGAACACCGGUGGCGAAGGCGGGUCUCUGGGCAGUAACUGACGCUGAGGAGCGAAAGCGUGGGGAGCGAACAGGAUUAGAUACCCUGGUAGUCC